rnacentral:rRNA from 1 species
AAGUCGAACGAGAUCUUCGGAUCUAGUGGCAGACGGGUGAGUAACGCGUGGGAACCUGCCUAGCAGUAGAGAACAACUUGGGGAAACUUAAGCUAAUACUUUAUACGUCCUUCGGGAGAAAGCUUUAUGCGCUAUUGGAUGGGCCCGCGUUAGAUUAGUUUGUUGGUGAGGUAAUGGCUCACCAAGACUACGAUCUAUAGCUGGUCUGAGAGGAUGAUCAGCCACACUGGGACUGAGACACGGCCCAGACUCCUACGGGAGGCAGCAGUGGGGAAUAUUGGACAAUGGGGGCAACCCUGAUCCAGCGAUGCCGCGUGAGUGAUGAAGGCCCUAGGGUUGUAAAUCUCUUUCGUCAGGGAAGAUAAUGACGGUACCUGAAGAAGAAGAUCCGGCUAACUCCGUGCCAGCAGCCGCGGUAAUACGGAGGGAUCUAGCGUUAUUCGGAAUUACUGGGCGUAAAGCGAGCGUAGGCGGAUUUGUAAGUUGGAGGUGAAAUCCCAGAGCUUAACUCUGGAACUACCUUCAAAACUACAUUUCUUGAGUUUGGUAGAGGAGAGUGGAAUUCCUAGUGUAGAGGUGAAAUUCGUAGAUAUUAGGAGGAACACCAGUGGCGAAGGCGACUCUCUGGGCCAAUACUGACGCUGAGGUUCGAAAGCAUGGGUAGCGAACGGGAUUAGAUACCCUGGUAGUCCAUGCAGUAAACGAUGAGUGCUAGAUGUUGGGAAUUUAAAUUUCCAGUAUCGCAGUUAACGCGUUAAGCACUCCGCCUGGGAAGUACGGCCGCAAGGCUAAAACUCAAAUGAAUUGACGGGGACCCGCACAAGCGGUGGAUCAUGUGGUUUAAUUCGAAGAUACGCGAAGAACCUUACCGGCCCUUGACAUACCAAUCGCGGACUUAAGAGAUUAAGUCUUUCACUUCGGUGGAUUGGAUACAGGUGCUGCAUGGCUGUCGUCAGCUCG